rnacentral:rRNA from 1 species
UACGGGGGGGGGCAAGCGUUGCUCGGAAUUACUGGGCGUAAAGGGCUCGUAGGUUGCCAACUAAGUCAGACGUGAAAUCCCUCGGCUUAACCGGGGAACUGCGUCUGAUACUGGAUGGCUUGAGAUUGGGAGAGGGAUGCGGAAUUCCAGGUGUAGCGGUGAAAUGCGUAGAUAUCUGGAGGAACACCGGUGGCGAAGGCGGCAUCCUGGACCAACACUGACACUGAGGCACGAAAGCUAGGGGAGCAAACAGG